rnacentral:rRNA from 1 species
AUUGAACGCUGGCGGCAGGCUUAACACAUGCAAGUCGAGCGGAGAGAGGUAGCUUGCUACUGAUCUUAGCGGCGGACGGGUGAGUAAUGCUUAGGAAUCUGCCUAUUAGUGGGGGACAACAUUUCGAAAGGAAUGCUAAUACCGCAUACGUCCUACGGGAGAAAGCAGGGGAUCUUCGGACCUUGCGCUAAUAGAUGAGCCUAAGUCGGAUUAGCUAGUUGGUGGGGUAAAGGCCUACCAAGGCGACGAUCUGUAGCGGGUCUGAGAGGAUGAUCCGCCACACUGGGACUGAGACACGGCCCAGACUCCUACGGGAGGCAGCAGUGGGGAAUAUUGGACAAUGGGCGCAAGCCUGAUCCAGCCAUGCCGCGUGUGUGAAGAAGGCCUUAUGGUUGUAGAGCACUUUAAGCGAGGAGGAGGCUACUUUAGUUAAUACCUAGAGAUAGUGGACGUUACUCGCAGAAUAAGCACCGGCUAACUCUGUGCCAGCCGCCGCAGUAAAAC